GUAAGAACAGAAACGUUUAAACGAAGAUUGUAGAAAGAAACCAUGCACACAUUCCACACAGAUUCUCCACGGAGAACCCUGCUUUCCACGGCGGUGACGGAACCACAUGUACCCUCACCUUUCUUGAAGCAGGAAGAAAAAGCCAUGUGCGGGAUCCCUCACAGUGAAGCAUGAGGAUCAGAGUACAGCUGGACUGUAGAAGUCUCUUUCUCCUACCCAGUCAACAGAAAACACGUUCACACACAUCUAUGGAAAAGUUUUCCCAUACUUCUGUAAUCUGGAUGAAGACCUAAACCACCCUCUGAAGCUGCUACCAGAGUAUGUCUCUGUAGGGUCUGACAUUGCCAAGCUUCCUGAUGGCAAGGCAGACGAAUGCAAGUCUCUUUGAAACCGAAGAAUCUAUUGGAGAAGUGAACGGCGACUGAAUGUGCUUCAAGCUCAUUUUAAUAAUUUGAUAGACCUCUCCUUGUUGAUUCCCAAAUCUUUUUCCUCAGACAUUCAGUUUCCUAUCAGUCCUUGGCUUGAUUAAAUCGUUCUGAUAUUUUUUUUAUCAGAUGGUGUUGAAAGAGA
rnacentral:lncRNA from 1 species